CAAAAUGUUGAAAAGCUGCUCCCCGAGUCCCUGGGAACCUCUCCACAUCCCCUGAGCUGUGUCAAGCCUCAGACUGUGACAGAGCAUCUCCCAGAGCCCCAUGCAGUGAUUCACAGAAGCGGUGGGUGGCUAGAGAAGCCAGCAGGAAUUUAAAAAGACCUAAGGUACUCACGUAGGAAUGAGCCUAUAAAUUCCUCCCCCAUCACCGUUGCCAAGGCAAUGCAGGUGGGCCCGGAGCCAGCUCUCAGGCAGGAAGUUCCUGAGAAGUGCUGCAGGUAGGUACCUUCUACUGGAAAAUGGGGCAGAGGCCAAGGUAGAAUGGAAAAGAGACUCCUGGGAUUCACCAUGGGGACAUGGAGACCCUGAACUGUGAUUUUGGCAGAGGCAAUGGCUGGGAAUGAGUCUCCAUGGUUAGGAACUUUGCUCUCCAGGAUGACUCAGGGACCGAAACAGUCACGUUGUAAUGCUAAGCCUAUGCGGAGCUUCUUAGGGGUAGGAGGCAUAGAAUACAUCAUGUGCCACCGAGCUAAAGAAUUGCCAUGCCAUGCAGUGGUCACACUCUAUUCUGUCAGUCACUGGUUUGAAUAGACCUAGGAGAAAUGCUUCAAUACAUCAAGACAGCCAGACCAAGUCCUGAUGCAAAGCCCAUGGCUAGCAGACUCAGAGCAAGUUCAAAAGGUGAGAAAAGAAUGGAGUUACCUCGCUCUGUGACUGUGAUGGUCUUAGUUAACCAAUCUUGGGCCCCAGAAUCCUUGGGACGGUCAUGGUCAAUUGAGCUGUGGAUACCACACCCUUCACUGGCUCCCAAAAUCCACUCAGGCUUCCCUUCCCACAUGUUUCUGGAACACCCUCCAUCCCCAGCAAGAGUUCUCAGAUAGCCUGCCAAUGAGUCUUGGUGUGGCUGGUCCCCAAGGUGGGCUGCCCAGCUUCAGAAGCCACCUCCUCUCUGGCCCUGGGACACCAGUCUUCUGCUGCAGGUCACCUCAUCCUACAGCAGCUAAGCUCCUCCCUUCACUCACUGUCUUGUAAAUGGACCAAGACCCUUCCCUUAAUUCCCUGCAGCAAUUGCUGAGACCAGAUUUUGAAAUUGUGGACAAGACUUAACUGAUGGUAUUGGGGCUAACAGGAGAGAAAUAUAACAUAGACACUUGGAAUACACUUCCUCAAAAUGAAGAAUUGCCUGUGGCCAGGAGAAACUGUAGGUGGAGAGAUGGAACCCUGUGGGAAAGUUCCUGUCAGUUCUCAACCUGGAGAGGUCAUUAAGGCUCCACCAGCCUCAGAAACAGGAAGGAGGAUAAUAAGCACCAAUACUUGUACAGGACUUAGAAUGUACCAGACGCCCUAUAAGUGCUUCACAUACGUGACCCUACGUACCCUCUUCUUCCAAGCUUGGGUUUGAGCCCAGCAGUCUGUCUCCGGGGGCUGCUCCUAACCCCUUCAGGUCCCAUAUCACCUGAAUGUUGAGUUUUAGGAAAGGACUGAGGUGACUCACAUACAGGAUAUGCCACAGCCUGGCACCUCAACAAACAUGGAAUCUGUCACCAUUACUGCUGCUAUUGCUUUUUUUCUUCUCCAGUUCGGUAAAUGUUAAUGGCAGGGGCAUAACCUCAUCCCUGGGGGAUCUCUCCUCAUUGGCUUACUUUGUUCUCAUCUCAAACCUUUCGGAGGCUGGAAUCAGGACCUAUCCAUUCAAAUUCCAGAUGUGUUACUUGCGCCUAAUUGCAGAACUCCUCCCUUUGCUCUGACGCAAACUUAAAGAGCAGGGAGGCUGAGGUUCUGAAAGAACUAAACCUUUGAAAUUCCAAUGAGAAGAUUAAAAUGUGAAACCACUUAAGGGCCUGCACUUUGACAGACUGUCUGUCGGUGUGACUCAGCCAUCUGAUCUUCCUGGGCCUGAAGGAAAAGACAUUUUUGUCCUUCCCUCAGGUAGAUAACUCACUUCCUUGAAACACGUCACUGUUGUGGAAAAGUGGGUUUGAAGAAAAUCAUUCUUGACAUCUCUAUUUGGCAGCAGUGUUUCUACAGUGCUACUAUUCAUCCUUGAUGCAAAAUUGUGUGUUUUGAUCUUGGCCCUACCCUCAAUGACAAAAUUUCGAAGAGAUAGAAAACUAGGCUAGAGUUUCCCUAGUUACGAGAUUUGCAAAUGUGUAAUGGAGUUGAAUCUUCAAGGCGUGCUCUUCCAUCAAGCUACAUAACCCCAAAGGCACCAUGUCUGGGAAGCCACCCACAGUGAUUUUACACACUUGUCGUAAUAUGAAUGUGAGCACACACCGUGCACCAGUCACCCUUUUGCAAUGAAAUACAGGAUUACAAUUAAAUAACAUACUUUUAUGAAACACAAAUGAUCACCACUUGCUUUUUAAAUGAGAAAUAACAAAAGUUGAGACCAGAAGUAAAGAACUGCCGUAUGUAAGCACCAGUUAGGGGCUACUUCCUUUGAAGCCUCAAGGGCAGCCAGUGAGAGCAGACAGAACAGAAACUUUGAAGCCAGACAGACUAGAGUUUCAAUCCUGAAGCAGAUCAAUUUCUCCGCGCGACCUCAGGCAAAUCACUGGAUUUCUCUGAGCUGAAGUUUCCUCAUCUAUUUAAAUAAUCCUUUUCUGGGGUCAUCACAAGGCAAGAUCACAUGUCCUCACACAGGGUGAACAAUUCAUCAACAGUGCUUUCCCUUCUUUCUUGGAAUUCAAAUGGACUAGGGUGAGGGAGUGGUCACUGUUAUUUGCAUAGGCAUGGGGGGAGGCAAGAAGCUUGGGGGAAAGGGAGAAUGUGCAGUGUGCUCUGCCCCACUGAGGGAAGGUGUAUUAGCCUGUUCUCA
rnacentral:lncRNA from 1 species